GCGAAAGCGAGUCUUAAUAGGGCGUUGAGUUAGAUGGAUCAGACCCGAAACCGAGUGAUCUAGGCAUGACCAGGAUGAAGAUUAGGUAACACUAAUUGGAGGUCCGAACCCACACCUGUUGAAAAAGGUCGGGAUGAGUUGUGCCUAGGGGUGAAAGGCCAAUCAAACUCGGAGAUAGCUGGUUCUCCGCGAAAUCUAUUUAGGUAGAGCGUCGAUCGAAUACUCUUGGGGGUAGAGCACUGACUGGGCUAGGGGUCCUCACCGGAUUACCAAACCUUAUCAAACUCCGAAUACCAAGAAGUACUAAUCGGCAGACACACGGCGGGUGCUAACGUCCGUCGUGGAGAGGGAAACAACCCAGACCGCCAGCUAAGGUCCCAAAUUUACAGUUAAGUGGGAAACGAUGUGGGAAGGCUUAGACAGCUAGGAGGUUGGCUUAGAAGCAGCCAUCCUUUAAAGAAAGCGUAAUAGCUCACUAGUCGAGUCGGCCUGCGCGGAAGAUGUAACGGGGCUAAACGUAGAACCGAAGCUGCGGAUGCUAAUUUAUUAGCAUGGUAGAGGAGCGUUCUG
rnacentral:rRNA from 12 species